rnacentral:piRNA from 1 species
UUAAAUGAAGCUGGGUGCCAAGGAAGCAA